AGGGAAUACAGUAGAACAGGGUUCUCUAUUACAUAAUGGUGGCAGGGAAUAUGUGUUGACAUCGGAACAUCCUCUUGGGCCUCUGGUGGUCUUCCAUGCCUAGCAUCAUAGGGAAAAAACAGCUGGAGCAAUUGAAGUUAGGGUUAAGGAUCUCAAGGGCUUGGACUUCUCAGAGAUCAAGAUCUGGAUCACUCCAUCCGGCAAGCAACGAAGACCAGAUGAAAUGCUGCUUGAAGGGCUGGCAUAUCUAGAAUUGGUGGUAGAAAUAUCUUUGCUUAAAAGUUUGCUCAAGAAACACCAUGCAUAUUUGACAUCAUAAGGAAAGAAAUGAGCAGAACCAUACAUCCAACUUACAUUGCAAUUACGGCAGAGGAAGAGAGAUGGAGAAGUUAAAAUGAAACAUUUCAAGGAUGAAUGGGCACUGAAAAUUGGUAAAGUGGCAGAAAAGUCCAAGCUUGAAGAAUGAAAAAGUAAAUGUAUGGAGAAAAAGGAGUUUGGAAAACAGGAAAAAAAAAAAGAUAUUUUGCAGAAACAUCUGUUUGCUGUUGCUAAAAAUUUUAGCAUUUAAAUGUUCUCAUUUGGGCUCUGAAGUUAGCACUUCCUUGAAGUAGUUCACACCUUUGCUAUUGCUCCUGUUCAGCUACAGAUCAUUUUAUGCAAGGCUGAUUUUAACAAGAAAAUGGUGCAUUAAUUUA